rnacentral:tRNA from 1 species
AAAAAUUUAGUUAAGUAGCGGUAUAACAUUAAUAUGUCAUAUUAAAGUCAUCAAAAAUUGAUAGUUUUUG